CCCAUAAGUAAUAAAAAGUCCGUUUAGGUCCCUUAACUUUAUUUAAAGUAUCAGUUUGGUCCUUUCUGUUAAUUUAAUUCAAAAAAACGUUAAGUUGAGGGACCAAAUUAAUACUAAUUAAAUAAGUUAAGGGACCAAACUAAUACUAAUUAAAUAAGUUAAGAGACCAAAAUUUAACAUUUUUUUAAAUUAAAUUAACAGAAAGGACCAAACCGAUACUUUAAAUAAAGUUAAGGGACCUAAACGGACUUUUUAUUACUUAUGGGA
rfam:Medicago truncatula strain A17 chromosome 1, whole genome shotgun sequence.